UACAGAGGUCCCAAGCGUUGUUCGGAUUCACUGGGCGUAAAGGGUGCGUAGGUGGUGAGGUAAGUCGGAUGUGAAAUCUCCGAGCUCAACUCGGAAAUUGCAUUGGAAACUACCUUGCUUGAGGGUUGGAGGGGGGACUGGAAUGCUUGGUGUAGCAGUGAAAUGCGUAGAUAUCAAGCGGAACACCAGUGGCGAAGGCGAGUCCCUGGACAACACCUGACACUGGGGCACGAAAGCUAGGGGAGCAAACAGG
rnacentral:rRNA from 1 species